GAGUGCUGGAGCGAAUAGAAGUGAGCAUGCAGGCAUGAGUAGCGAUAAUUAAUGUGAGAAUCAUUAACGCCGUAAACCCAAGGUUUCCUACGCGAUGCUCGUCAUCGUAGGGUUAGUCGGGUCCUAAGUCGAGUCCGAAAGGGGUAGACGAUGGCAAAUUGGUUAAUAUUCCAAUACCAACAUUAGUGUGCGAUGGAAGGACGCUUAGGGCUAAGGGGGCUAGCGGAUGGAAGUGCUAGUCUAAGGUCGUAGGAGGUUAUACAGGCAAAUCCGUAUAACAAUACUCCGAGAACUGAAAGGCUUUUUGAAGUCUUCGGAUGGAUAGAAGAACCCCUGAUGCCAUCGAGCCAAGAAAAGUUUCUAAGUUUAGCUAAUGUUGCCCGUACCGUAAACCGACACAGGUGGGUGGGAUGAGUAUUCUAAGGCGCGUGGAAGAACUCUCUUUAAGGAACUCUGCAAAAUAGCACCGUAUCUUCGGUAUAAGGUGUGGUUCGCUUCGUAUUAGGAUUUACUCCGAAAGCGAAGAAACUUACAACAAAGAGUCCCUCCCGACUGUUUACCAAAAACACAGCACUCUGCUAACUCGUAAGAGGAUGUAUAGGGUGUGACGCCUGCCCGGUGCUCGAAGGUUAAUUGAUGGGGUUAGCAUUAGCGAAGCUCUUGAUCGAAGCCCGAGUAAACGGCGGCCGUAACUAUAACGGUCCUAAGGUAGCGAAAUUCCUUGUCGGUUAAAUACCGACCUGCAUGAAUGGCGUAACGAGAUGGGAGCUGUCUCAAAGAGGGAUCCAGUGAAAUUGUAGUGGAGGUGAAAAUUCCUCCUACCCGCGGCAAGACGGAAAGACCCCGUGGACCUUUACUACAGCUUGACACUGCUAUUUGGAUAAGAAUGUGCAGGAUAGGUGGGAGGCUUUGAGUAUAUGACGCCAGUUGUAUAUGAGCCAUUGUUGAGAUACCACUCUUUCUUAUUUGGGUAGCUAACCAGCUUGAGUUAUCCUCAAGUGGGACAAUGUCUGGUGGGUAGUUUGACUGGGGCGGUCGCCUCCCAAAUAAUAACGGAGGCUUACAAAGGUUGGCUCAGAACGGUUGGAAAUCGUUCGUAGAGUAUAAAGGUAUAAGCCAGCUUAACUGCAAGACAUACAAGUCAAGCAGAGACGAAAGUCGGUCUUAGUGAUCCGGUGGUUCUGUGUGGAAGGGCCAUCGCUCAAAGGAUAAAAGGUACCCCGGGGAUAACAGGCUGAUCUCCCCCAAGAGCUCACAUCGACGGGGAGGUUUGGCACCUCGAUGUCGGCUCAUCGCAUCCUGGGGCUGGAGCAGGUCCCAAGGGUAUGGCUGUUCGCCAUUUAAAGCGGUACGCGAGCUGGGUUCAGAACGUCGUGAGACAGUUCGGUCCCUAUCUGCCGUGGGCGUAAGAAGAUUGAAGAGAUUUGACCCUAGUACGAGAGGACCGGGUUGAACAAACCACUGGUGUAGCUGUUGUUCUGCCAAGAGCAUCGCAGCGUAGCUAAGUUUGGAAAGGAUAAACGCUGAAAGCAUCUAAGCGUGAAGCCAACUCUAAGAUGAAUCUUCUCUAAGCUCUCUAGAAGACUACUAGUUUGAUAGGCUGGGUGUGUAAUGGAUGAAAGUCCUUUAGCUGACCAGUACUAAUAGAGCGUUUGGCUUAUCUUUAAUAAAGCAU
rnacentral:rRNA from 1 species